ensembl:lncRNA
CAACAACUUUAUUUAUUUUUUCUUCUUUUUUGCAUGGGCCACUGAAGUAGACCCCCAGAAAGCUUGUCAGUUGUUCAGAGAAAAUCUCCUGGACCGUAACUCUGAAUGUCCAAGCCUCCUCCUCUCUCUCAACAUGUUUGAAGAAGAAGAAGAACAGGACAGCUCAUUUAUUUCAUUCUAUAAAAGGAAUGAUGUUAACUGGGCAAGUCCAUUCAGGUGCAGGCUGAGAGGAGAUGCAGCAGUCGGCGAUGGUGUCAACCGACAUGUUUUGUCAAUGGCCAUGCAGAAACUGAAGUCUGGCUUCAGUAUCAAUUUAGGCUCUGUUGCUCUUUCAAGCCUUUUUGAAGGGGAAAAAGAACAUCGGGUUCCCUCUGCAGCUGUUGUGCUUCGGGAAAGCAACCUGUUUGAGAUGGCAGGUCGAAUGAUAGACCAUUCCUUCCUGCAUGGUGGUUAUGGUGUGUCAGGAAUCAGUUUGCCUGUGGUGACCCUGUUGACUGGUGGGAGCACAAACACAGCAGUGUCAGCUCUGACCCUGCUGGACUGUCCUGAUCUUGACCAUAGGAAACAAUUGGUUUUGAAACAACUUGGCAUGUUAUUCUGAAAUUCUGCACUACUUUUGUGGAUGUCGGCCUGUUUUAGCUGAAGAAUACAGAACUUACUGCAGCAGAAACCACCCGUGUGACUGAUCUUUGCCUGUCCUGGGACCUCCCUGUUCCAACCUCAACCAAUCACGACUGGCUGUUCCAGGAACUGCUUUCACAUGCGGUAAUUCACCGUGUUAGGCUGCCUAUCAAGCAGAUCCGCAAAGGUCUUAAAGGGACAGGAAUCUGGCCGCCUCUUUCAAGUAGACCAGAUGUCGGACCCAUAAUCUUUCCGAGGGAGUCGAAUGAGGAGCUUAACCCACAGGCUGUCAUCCAGAACAUCCACUGGCCACAACCCAAAUGUGACAGCGACGAGGACGAGGAUGACCCUGUUCCAUUGGAGAAAGUCAGUCUCAUCACUGGUUUUUUGUGGAAAUUCAUAGAGGAAGCGUCACCAGAGGUGCUGCGUGACCUCAUGAGGUUCUGGGUUGGCUGGGAGCUGCCAGCAAAAGAGCUAUUUGUUGAAGUUGCAACCUCGACCUACCCGACAGCUUUU